CCUACGGGUGGCAGCAGUAGGGAAUUUUCGUCAAUGGGCGCAAGCCUGAACGAGCGAUGCCGCGUGAGUGAAGAAGGCCUUCGGGUCGUAAAGCUCUGUUGCGGGGGAAAAAAGGCAGCAUCAGGAAAUGGGUGCUGACUGAUGGUGCCCCGCCAGAAAGUCACGGCUAACUACGUGCCAGCAGCCGCGGUAAUACGGAGGGGGCGAGCGUUAAUCGGAAUGAUUGGGCGUAAAGGGUGCGCAGGCGGUCCGGCAAGUCUGAUGUGAAACGCCUGGGCUCAACCUGGGAACGGCAUCGGAAACUGGAGGACUGGAGAGCAGGAGAGGGGGGUAGAACUCCAGGUGUAGCGGUAAAAUGCGUAGAGAUCUGGAAGAACACCAGUGGCGAAGGCGGCCGCCUGGCCUGUUGCUGACGCUGAGGUACGAAAGCGUGGGGAGCAAAUAGGAUUAGAUACCCCUGUAGUC
rnacentral:rRNA from 1 species